rnacentral:lncRNA from 1 species
GUUUUAAUAAUUUCCUUUGACAUUGCAUAUGUAUAUUCUUCUCUCCACAGAAGCCAUCUUAGAAAGACCUGCAAAAUAAGAAACCUUAUUUGAGUAAAACAGUAGCAGAUACAUCACUUUGAGAUCACAGAAUGAAAGAAACAUGAAAUGUUAUGGCGAAGACAGCACAGCAAGAAACAAUAGUCUCGCAAAUACUCACAAAUCAGGUGCCUGGUGCACUGAACCUAUCAACUGUGCAAGAUUUGUGCUUUGGUCCUCUUUUGAAGAUGUGAAGCAACGUCGAGUCUGAAAUUGGAAUUACUGAUAGACUGGAGGAAAUCUUAGUCCUUGUGAUACACAUGGACAUGCUGAAUUCUAAGUAAUUCUAGCUUCUUUUCCCCUCCCCUCCCCUUCCCUUAUUCAGCUAUCUCAGGGUUAACAGAGAUUUCAAUGGUUUGUGUGCCUGUAAGUU